CUUGUACUCCCUCCGUUCCGAAUUAUUUGUCUUGGAUUUGUCUAGAUACAGAUGUAUCUAGACUCAUUUUAGUGCUAGAUACCUCCGUAUCUAGACAAAUCUAAGACAAGUAAUUCAGAACGGAGGGAGUACGUG
rnacentral:pre_miRNA from 1 species